UACGUAGGUGGCAAGCGUUAUCCGGAAUUAUUGGGCGUAAAGGGUGAGUAGGCGGUUAAUUAAGUCUGAAGUUAAAGGCAGUGGCUCAACCAUUGUAUGCUUUGGAAACUGAAUAACUAGAGUAUGAUAGAGGUCGGUGGAAUUCCACAUGUAGCGGUGAAAUGCGUAGAUAUCCGGAGGAACACCAGUGGCGAAGGCGACUUUCUGGCCUGUUCUUGACGCUGAGGCGCGAAAGCUAGGGUAGCAAACGGG
rnacentral:rRNA from 1 species